GUUUGGUUUUUAUUUUUUUAUUUUUUUUUUAGAAGUGGUUUGGAAAGAAAAUGCACAGUAAUAGUCACAGUCUAGUCAUAGUGGGCUUAGGAACUAGUGCAGUGCAAAAAUUACAAUUCCCUUCUCUUGCAACUCACUGUUGUGGCCACCAAAUAACAGUGCUACUUAUGAGAAGAGACAUUUUUGCCAAAGAAAAUAUUGCUGUUUUUUUUUUUAUUACAUGUCAUUUCAAAUGAGGGGUGUGUGCUUUCAGGGUUCGGAUGGCGUAAAAGGUCCUGUUGUGAACAGACCGGCCAAUUGGGCUUCAGAACAAAAUGUGGGUGAAUAAUCCUGGGAAUGAAUGCAUAAAAUGCAUUUUUUGCAUCUAAAGAAGCUUGUCCUGAUGGUGUGAUCUGAAGGAUGCCCACUAGAAGGCACAACACCCCGGUUUUGGUGAUUGGAGGUCCCAUAUGGCUAGAUUGAAGAAUGAAUGUUCUUCCAGUACUGUAAAAAGAAAAGUUUGGAGUUGGAGUGAAGGGUUUCCCAGCCAGACUUUUCUUGGAAGGUGAGAGCUGUUCCACAUCUUUGGAUCACUUUCAAAGGGGGUCAGCCACUUCUUUUCACUGGCGAUCCUUAACGCCGUGAUCCAACAUCAG